AUUCAAAUAGCUUAAAUUAGAGCAUGACAUUGAAGCUGUUAGGGUAAUUAUUAAAUUUUUGAAUA
rnacentral:tRNA from 1 species